UUUUUUCCUUUGCUCUAUGGUUUCAAGGGUGAUUUCUUUUUCUUGUUACUUUUCAUAUUUUUACCCUUUCAUAAAAACUCACUUUUCCAAGUUUCUAAUCAACUUUUCACUUUACUCUCCCCAACUUUAGAUUCCAAAACCAAAUUUAUUCAAUAAUGUUCCCUACUUAGACAUAAGCAAAAGGCAAAAUUUUGCAAACAACUCGAUUUGAGGUUUCAACUGAUACAAAAGAAAUUAGGAUUCAU
rnacentral:lncRNA from 1 species